CACACCUUUAAGCUCAGGGUAUUGGUGGCACACAUCUUUAAGUUUAGGGCGUUGGUGGCAUACGCCUUUAAUCCCACCACUCGGAGUAAGAGGCAGAUGGAUCUUUAUGAGUUCAAGGCCUGCCUGGUCCGGCAGAUCGAAUUCCAGGACAGGCUCCAAAGUCACAGAAAAACCCUGCCUCAGAAAGAAGUUAAGCUACUAUUUAAGGAAUAUAAGGUAGCUCUAUACAGUUUUAAGUUCAGCUGUGCUGUUUCAAACAUUUUACUAAGUUAAAACCAGUUACAGUCAGACUAAAAAUCAUUUACAGAAAUAAGACCUUACCUAGCCACCUGUAUGCUUAAGGCAAUGUGUGCUUAAGGCAAGUAACUAAAACAGACAAACAGACCUCUAAUGCUUCAGAGAUCUUCAGAAUAUGGCAUUCAAAUUGUUAUCUUUAAAGUUUAUAAUGUCAGACAGACUGCCAGAUCCGGACAGUGACCAAAGAAGUCUCCAAAGAAGAUUACGAGGCACCUCAGUUCCUGCACCUGGACCAGUGAGCGAGAUGCUCAGAUGUGAAACCUGCCGCCUGCCAGAACCUGGCCGAGAAUAUGGACAAAGCUGCUGGACACUGGAAAAUUGAUUGUACCCCUUUGCCUAGACAAAACAAGGUUUCUGCUUCUGGCUGACAUCUGAGUAUCAGUUGCUGACUACAGGCUGUUCUAAGUAGACUGCGAGCCCUGGACUUGCUGUGGAUGUGAACCAGUCCAGCUGAUAUGGACACCCCCUGUCUCUGCAACAGUGUCUGCUAACCAGAAGCCCCUGAUGGAUUCCCCAUUGCCUAAAUUCCUUUUUGCUUUUGACUAGCAUUUCAACCUUCUGGGGUCCCUAACUUCGUCCCAAAGUCAGCAGGAAGCAGUUUGGAAAGAAAUUUCGCCGUCCAUUUUCCCUGGUUAAAAUGCUAAGUCAAAAGGAACUCCCUUACAUGGGGAUGCCAAUAUCUAUCACUCCCUGAUGGGGAUGCUAGAGAGACAGCAAUUCCAUGAUUGGAAUUUACAAAAAAGAAAAUGGGGGAAUGAAGGAACCAGCUUCCUUUUGGCAGCCAUAACAGCCGAACACGUGCUUGCCAUAAACCUGCCUUGGUCACGUAGAG
rnacentral:lncRNA from 1 species